rnacentral:rRNA from 1 species
UACGUAGGGGGCAAGCGUUGUCCGGAAUCAUUGGGCGUAAAGAGCUCGUAGGCGGCUUGUUGCGUCGGCUGUGAAAACCUGCGGCUCAACCGUGUGGUCUGCAGUCGAUACGGGCAGGCUGGAGUUCGGUAGGGGAGACUGGAAUUCCUGGUGUAGCGGUGAAAUGCGCAGAUAUCAGGAGGAACACCGGUGGCGAAGGCGGGUCUCUGGGCCGAUACUGACGCUGAGGAGCGAAAGCGUGGGGAGCGAACAGG